AAAAAUGAUGAGUUCAUGUCCUUUGUAGGGACACGGAUGAAGCUGGAAACCAUCAUUCUCAGCAAACUAUCACAAGGACAAAAAACCAAAUACCGCAUGUUCUCACUCAUAGGUGGGAAUUGAACAAUGAGAACACAUGGACACAGGAAGGGGAACAUCACACACUGGGGCCUGUCAUGGGGUGGGGGUGGGGGGAGGGAUAGCAUUAGGAGAUAUACCUAAUGUAAAUGACGAGUUAAUGGGUGCAGCACACCAACAUGGCACACGUAUACGUAUGUAAUAAGCCUGCAUGUUGUGCACAUGUACCCUAGAACUUAAAGUAUAAUAAUAAAAAAAAAAACAGAAGUAUAUCUGACAAAGAUUUGCAACCAGCAUAUACAAAGAACUCCUAUAAUGCAAUAACACAAAUUAUUUGAACACACUUCACAAAGGUAUACAAAUGAACAAGCACAUAAAAAUGCUUGAUAUGAAAAACAAUCAGGGAAAUGCAAAUUAGAUACCACUUACUACAAUGAGAUACCACUUACUACACAUCCACCAAAAUGACUAAAAUAAAAACCACUGACACCAUCAUAUGCUGAUGGUAAUGAGAAACUGGAACUGUCAUACAUUGCUGAUGGGAGUUUAAAAUGGUACAACCACUUGAGAAAAAUGUCCUGCGGUUUCUUAUAAAAAAAACUAAACAUGCAUCUCACCUAUGACCCAAUAAUUCUAUUCCAAGAUAAAUGAUAACGUGCUCAUAAAAAGAUUUACAGAAAAAUAUCCAUAGAAGCUUUAUUUAUAAUAUGUAAAAAAAACUGGAAACGGCCCAGGUGUCCAUCAAAAGGAUAAACUAUGGCAUAUUCAUACAAUGAAAUAAUAUUCAGCAAUAAAUUUUUGAUACAUACAACAUAGAUAAAUCCCAAAUACCUUAUGCUGAAAGAAGCCUUACACAAGAGAGCAUAUACUUUCAUUUAUGUAGUUAGAAAAACAGAAAACUAAUCUAUUGGGGAAAACUCAGAACCAAGAGUGGUUACCCAGGGGAAUGGGAUAGAAAGAUUUGACUGGGAAGAAGCAUGAAGAGACUUCCUGGGGAUGAUAAUGUUAUCUUGAUCAGGGCUUGGGUUUCACAAGUAUGUGAUUUGUCAAACCUCACUGCAUCCAACACUUAAGAUUUGUGCAUUUCACUGCAUGUAAACUUCACCUCAAAAGAAAAAAAAUCUUUAACAACUAUUGAACUCUGGUUAACAAUAUGCAUGAAAUGUUUACAGGUAAUCUGUACUUAAGUUUGCAAUUUUCUUUGAAAUGCAUCAAAAAUGAGGACUUAUAGAUGGAUAUGUGAAAAAGCAAGUAUAGGAAAAUGUUAAGUAUAGAACUUAGGUAGUAAAUAUACACGUUAACUGAACAAUUCCUUCAACUGCUCUGUGUUUAAAAGAUUUUUAUAAGAAAAUGUUGGAAAAAAAAUAAGCAGUGAGUAAAGAAAAAGAACUAAAUUAACAAAAUCCUAUGCCAUGUUUCAAAACAACCAGGAAAGGAAAAACUUCUUGGGUAGUUGAAGCUAUUUUAGCAGAGCUAAAAGGAAUCAAAGAAAAUCAAAACAAACUUCAACUGCUAAAACAAACAAAACAACUGAAUAUAAAAUAGCUUUUUAUGAAGGUAAAAAUUUUCACUUUGAGGCAGCCAACAUACCAGAGCAAGGAAAUAAAACAUUAUUUUAAGUCUAGUAUUAGGGUAGAAUUUUUUCAACAAUUCUGCAAACAAUUUGGAAAAACCUGAAUUAUAUAGUCUGGAAAGAGCCAAAAGUUCUGCAAGAAAGAUUUGCUAAUUAUGUGAGGGGACUGACCAUCCAUAUAACACUAAUAAAUCAAUACUAUGAACCAAUAAUGUUUGGCUAGAACAGAUUUUAACGUUUUUAUUCACUGACUGGUCUGAAUUCAUAAGAACUGAUUCAGUUUAACCUCAAUAUUGUUUGUAAAGACCCCAUCCCCUUUACAAAAGGUCUACUCAGUGGCAAGAGACACCUACCAGGAAAAAUACUAAACAAUAGUCAGAUUUUCUUGUUUCCAAGAUCCCCCCUCACCAGCGGCCAUAAGAAAAAAAGUAAACUCAAAAGUGGUGGUGAUCGGCCAGGCGCGGUGGCUCAUGCCUAUAAUCCCAGCACUUUGGGAGGCCAAGGCGGGCGGAUCAUCUGAGGUUGGGAGUUUGAGACCAGCCUGACCAACAUGGAGAAACCCCGUCUCUACCAAAAAUACAACAUUAGGCGGGUGUGGUGGCACAUGCCUGUAAUCCCAGCUACUCCGGAGGCUGAGGCAGAAGAAUCACUUGAACCCGGGAUGAGAAGGUUGCAGUGAGCCGAGAUCGCACCAUUGCACUCCAGCCUGGGCGACAAGACAGAAACUCCAUCUCAAAAAAAAAAAAAAAGUGGUGAUUAUUGGGAAAACAAUUACUGAAACAAUAAAACCAGAAUUGGUUCACUUACCUCAAUUAGUUUCCACUACAAAUAAAUGUCAUGUGUUUAUUAAAACUAGUUUUACGUGUAGCUAGCAAAUAUUAAUUACAGAAUUUCAAGAACCCAUUUUCCAUCCUAUAGCUUUCCCCAAAACUCCAGAUGUUUUAAGGGGCGGACCUUAUGUGACAGCCUCUCUACAACCUUAUAAGUUUAAUUCUUUUCAGGAUUCAAGACAACAUUUCAAAAAACCCAAACUCAUACUAACUUCAUAAGCAAACAUCUCCUCUCCAGAUGGCAGGUUACCAAGGUAGUUUUUAUUAUCAAAAAUUUCAAACAAAAUAGCAUAAUGAACCUAAGUUUCAACGAUAAUUAUUCAAUGACACACAGCUAAUGUUCUUUCAUCUAUAAUACUCAUCCUGAAAUUACUUUGAAGCACUUCCCAUAAUCACUCUAAAGCAGUUUUAGUCACACAGUAGGUCAUUACCUAAACUCAGGUCAAUCCUUUCCUGAAGCUACAUCUCCCACACACAGGCACCCUCCAUGUCCCUGAAAAGCAUUUUAGGGAAAACUGCCUUUGGUCAUUGAGGUAGGAGAGAAGACAAGUGUUCUAAAUCAAGUUGCUCCUACUGAAACUUAACAUUCUAGGUAGGAUGGAGGGAAACAAGAGGUUGUCUCUUGCUACAUAGGUUGAGUAUCCCUUUUCUGAAAUGUUUGGGACCAGAAGUGUUUGGAAUUUCAAAAUUUUUCAGGUUUGAGAAUAUUUGCUUUAUAUUUACUGGUUGAGCAUUCCUAAUUCGAAAUUCCAAAUUGCCACAAAGAACAUUUUGAGCAGCAAGUCAGUGCUCAAGAAGUUUCAGAUUUUGCAGCAUUUUGGAUUUUCAGAUUAGGGAUGCUCAACCUGUAUUAGUUCUCUUGAAUUCUUAUAUAAAUUAUAUAAAUUCUUUAUUAUAAACGUAAAUAUAAAAGGCCUUAAAGAGGUUUCAUAUGAAAUGAACUAAAUUUGGCCCAGAUUUACAAAAGUCUAGAUUAAGUUUAUGCUCCACCCUUCCCAAUAGACUAUAUCAUUCAUUAUCUAUGGAGAUUUGUCUAAGUUCUGAAUGUCUGGUGUUCACAUAAAAAAUCCCAUGAUUUGUUUAUCCUUUUAAAUCCAAAGCUAAUUGAAAGGUUAUGCCUUGAUUAUAAGCUUUAAGGAAAUGAAAGCUGUUUUAAAUUCAUAAGUCUUAAAUUUCAACAGUAAAACCGACUCAAUGUUUUCAUCUGCUCUUAAUCAAGGCAGAAAGCCACAAUCAGUUUUGAGAAUAUAUACAGCAUAAAAAUGAAUUUAAUUAUUUUUCCUGGCUAUGAGAAAUUAUCCAGCUUUUUACCUUUAGCGUAACCAGAUUUAUGUCAAGAAGGGGCUGUAAGUAAAGGGUUCCAAACAAAUUACAGUGCCUUUGUAUUUCCUUCCCCAAACAAUUCUAAAUGGCUGAAAUUUGGUUAAAAGCAGAGAAAAGACAGGAUACCUUUUGUAACAAGAGCAACUUAAGAGGUAAUCUGUAAAAAGGAGAAGUCUACCACUAUGUUUAUCCUAGAUGGUGAUUAAGUGUUAGGGUUUUGUUUUGGUUUUCAUCACAAAAACCAUUUCCUUUUUACCUGGCAGCUGCCUCCAAGAACGACUGCAGACUUCUGCAGCAGUACAGGUUACCCUCACCUCUCCCCCAACAACAGGAGGGCCAGGACUCACUCCUUGAUUAUUUUUAGAGAAGACUGAUUCUAAUACAUAAACAAAGAGAACUUGCAUGAUUUAAGCAGGCCACAAAUACUGACCUCAAUUGAUAGUUCACAAUCUAGUACACACAUUGCUUUCAGGUUACGUUAAUGCCAAUCAUGAUUAAAUUUCAUUAAUUGGUAAUAGAGCACAAGUCAAGGCAGCAUUAUGUAAGUUUGAAAUAAAAACAAAUCUACUGGAAAUCUAAGGCAGAUGUGCUUGUCUCAAAACCCGCCAAAUUCCAAACCCAUAUUUCUCAAGACUACAACCUUCUAAAACACCCCUUAGAAGCUAGUGAACCACUGACAACUGAAAACAAAGGACAAUCACUUUCUGUGAAUUAUGUAUACUUCAGAAAUGUUUGCACAUUCAAAAAAUGUUGGGAAGGGGCUGUUCCAUGUUAUAAGCUUGACUAAAACAAACCUUUAUGCAAAACACAAUUUGCAGGCUGCACAGAUUGAGAACCCAGGAGGUUAGCAGAGAAGUUAAAACACUAGUACACACAGUUGGUUGUUAUUAAAACAUUAGUGCACUACCAUCCACCUUAAGUUGUCAGAUGCUAACUCACAGUGCAAGGCCUUCUUAAAAUCAAGGAUACAAAAACAAAUCCAAUCGGUACUGUCUAUUAUGAAGCAGAAACCUUUAGUACAUUGGCUUAUUUAGAACUCAUCAAUAUCAAUCAUCUUGAGAACAGUACAUUGAAGAUGUAUCUUCUUUGCAAUGUUCCACUCCAGUACCUUCAACUGUUCAAGUACUUCAAGCCCUGAUGUCUCAAAUUAUUCUUUUUGGCCAAGGUGUAGCCACAGGGGGAAAGGAGAGACUGAGUCACAAAAAUAACCUUUUAAGAAAGCGAUAUAAAUAGGUUUUGUGGCAACCAAAGAACACUUUUUAAAUAGCUGUUUGUCAGGUGAGACAGAGCAAAGCAUUCAGGACGAUUUGCCCCUCAGAGAAGAACUGAUCAAUACAGAACAUCUUGUGGUCUUCAGAUAGAUGAAAGGGAGAAGGCAAAAAAGGAUGAUGAAAUGUGUCUCACAGCAAGCCAAAGCCAAAGCCAAAGCCAAGCCAGGCCUUCAGAGAUACAAGAUUAAGUCUAAAAACAAAAAUGGUAAGAUGUGACAAUGUCUGGACUCAGAAAACAAUACCCCCGAAUGAAGGCCUCAGUAGCAAGUUUUUCUCUGACCUUCUCCUGCCCUCCUAUCUCUCAGUCUCCUUCUUCCCCAAAGCUAGCCAUAGAAACUAGAAUCCCUCUUCCCCAAGGUGGGUCAUAGAAACCAGAACCCCUUUUUCCUGAAAGCCAGCCAUAAAACCUAAAAAUAUUACUCUAACUUUUCUAAAACCUAAAGAUAUUACUCCACCUUUCUGUGUAAAAACUGGUCAUAAAAAACUAUCUGAUUUACCUGGUUUGACUGUCAUAAGACCCCCUAUUCCAGAGAGGAUCCUGUCCCACACCCAGAAGGAAGGAAUGUGUGCUCAGAGAGGGCAAGAAUACAAACAAGCCUUGUUGGGUUUCCCCUACUCAAGUCCAUUAGCAGAUCAUACCCUUUUUGUCCAAUGAUAUUUCUAAUGGCUGUCCAUACUUCAUUGAAGCUAAGCAUAAAAAAUGGACAAUUUCCCCUGUAUUUUUGGGUCUCCAUUCUGAAGGUUCCCAUGUACACAUUAAUAAAAUUUGUACGCCCUUUCUCUUUAUCUGCCUUUUGUGAGCUGAGUUUUUGGUGAACCUUUAGAGGGUGAAGGAGUUUUCCCUUGGCUCCUACAACUAUUGAAAGUAUAGGAUAAUGAGAAGUCUGAAGUUCUAUAAGAGGGUUAUAAAUGCUUUAAAAAAACACACACACACAUACAACAUAAAAGGAACAUUUUCUGGAGAAAAGGCGUAGAUAUGGUAGUAUGUGCUGCAAUGACUCUAGAUUAAAUAACAUCUCAAGUGGCCCUGCAACUACUCCCCACCAGUUCAUGCUAAAAAUUCACAUUCUUUUGCAACCAAAAUGCCAGAGAAAAAACAUGUUGAAACAAUCAAAUGUCCGGUACUCUUUGCUGACAUGAAAAUGCAAAAAGAAAAAAUCCCACUCGUUUUGGCAAUUUUAAAUGCUAAUUUUUAUUUACUGCUAACUGUGCAAAAGACACCAAUUCAAUACAGUGCAGUAAAACACUU
rnacentral:lncRNA from 10 species